ensembl:snRNA U6 U6 spliceosomal RNA
AUUAAAAAUAAAAAUAAAAAUUGGAAGUUUACAGAGAUUAGCAUGGCCCCUGCUCAAGGAUGCCACGCAAAUUUGUGAAGUGUUCUAUAUUUAA